CAAGUCGAACGAAGGCUUCGGCCUUAGUGGCGCACGGGUGAGUAACGCGUGGGAAACUGCCCAUCAGUGGGGAAUAACAGAGGGAAACUUCUGCUAAUACCGCAUACGCCCUUCGGGGGAAAGAUUUAUCGCUGAUGGAUGUGCCCGCGUACGAUUAGGUAGUUGGUGGGGUAAAGGCCUACCAAGCCGACGAUCGUUAGCUGGUCUGAGAGGAUGAUCAGCCACACUGGGACUGAGACACGGCCCAGACUCCUACGGGAGGCAGCAGUGGGGAAUAUUGGACAAUGGGCGAAAGCCUGAUCCAGCAAUGCCGCGUGAAUGAUGAAGGCCUUAGGGUUGUAAAGUUCUUUCGGGUGGGACGAUGAUGACGGUACCACCAGAAGAAGCCCCGGCUAACUUCGUGCCAGCAGCCGCGGU
rnacentral:rRNA from 1 species